rnacentral:rRNA from 1 species
AGUGAACGCUGGCGGCGUGCUUAACACAUGCAAAUCGAACGAGAACGGAUUAUAGCUUGCUAUAAUUGUCAGCUAAGUGGCGCACGGGUGAGUAAUGUAUAGGUAAUAUGCCUCUUACUAAGGGAUAACAAAUGGAAACGUUUGCUAAUACCUUAUACUCCUUAUUAACCUAAGUUAAUAAGGGAAAGAUUUAUUGGUAAGAGAUUAGCCUGUAUUGUAUCAGUUAGUUGGUGGGGUAAUGGCCUACCAAGACUAUGACACAUAACUGGUUUGAGAGGAUGAUCAGUUACACUGGAACUGAGACACGGUCCAGACUCCUACGGGAGGCAGCAGUGGGGAAUAUUGCACAAUGGGCGAAAGUCUGAUGCAGCAACGCCGCGUGGAGGAUGACACAUUUCGGUGCGUAAACUCCUUUUAUAUGAGAAGAUAAUGACGGUAUUAUAUGAAUAAGCACCGGCUAACUCCGUGCCAGCAGCCGCAGUAAUAC